rnacentral:piRNA from 1 species
UGCAUUUCAAUCUUCGCUUUCACAG